rnacentral:rRNA from 1 species
AAAGAUUAAGCCAUGCAUGUCUAAGUACCCACGGCUGGUACAGUGAAACUGCGAAUGGCUCAUUAAAUCAGUUAUGGUCCUUUGGUCGCUCGCUCCUCUCCUACUUGGAUAACUGUGGUAAUUCUAGAGCUAAUACAUGCCGACGGGCGCUGACCCCCGGCAAGGGGGGGAUGCGUGCAUUUAUCAGAUCAAAACCAACGGUCAGCUCCCCCCCGACCUGGGCCGGGGGUGCGGGUGCCGGUGGCUUUGGUGACUCUAGAUAACCUCGGGCUGAUCGCACGCCCCCUGUGGUGGUGAUGACCCAUUCAAACGUCUGCCCUAUCAACUUUCGAUGGUAGUCGCCGUGCCUACCAUGGUGACCAUGGAUGACAGGGAAUCGGGGUUCGAUUCCAGAGAGGGAGCCUGAGAAAUGACUACCACAUCCAAGGAAGGCAGCAGGUGCCCAAAUUACCCACUCUCAACCUGGGGAGGUAGUGACAAAAAAUAACAAUACAGGACUCUUUUGAGGCUCUGUAAUUGGAAUGAGUCCACUUUAAAUCCUUUAACUAGGAUCUAUUGGAGGGCAAGUCUGGUGCCAGCAGCCAUGGUAAUUCCAGCUCCAAUAGCGUAUAUUAAAGUUGCUGCAGUUAAAAAGCUCGUAGUUGGAUCUUGGGAGCAGGCGGGUGGUCUGCUGCGAGGCGCCCCUUGCCUCUCGGUGUCCCCUUGAUGCUCUUAGCUGAGUGUCUCACGGGGCCCAAAGCAUUUACUUUGAAAAAAUUAGAAUGUUCAAAGCAGGUCCAAGCCACCUGGAUACCGCAGCUAGGAAUAAUAGAAUAGGACCGUGGUUCUAUUUUGUUGGUUUUCGGAACUGAGGCCAUGAUUAAGAGGGAUGGCCGGGGGCAUUUGUAUUGCGCCGCUAGAGGUGGAAUUCUUGGACCCGCACAAGACGGACCAGAGAAAAAGCAUUUGCCAAGAAUGUUUUCAUUAAUCAAGAAUAAAAGUCAGAGGUUUGAAGAUGAUCAGAUACCGUUGUAGUUCCGACCAUAAAUGAUGCCAACUGGCAAUGCGGCAGCAUUAUUCCCAUGACCCAUCGGGCAGCUUCUGGGAAACCAAAAUCUUUGGGUUCUGGGGGGAGUAUGGUUGCAAAGCUGAAACUUGAAGGAAUUGACGGAAGGGCACCACCAGAAGUGGAGCCUGCGGCUUAAUGCCAGGGUCUGGCCUCGGCCGUGGCGUGUGGCUCGUUCACAGGAAGGCAACAUGGGUGAUCAGGAACAAAAAAAUUAGACUGAGACCUCAUUGCUCCUUAGCAUGUUCUCAGCUGGCCACAGCCAGAACCAGCUCCAGGCUGCCGUGCCGUGGCUAUUAAAACAUGCCUAUUUAUUGAGGAAGGUUUAGGAAGUAAGGAGGGUGAGGGGUAGUAAAAAAUUUACUCUAAGGAACAGGGUAUACAAAGUAUGGAAGCAAUAAUUAUAAAACAUGCUGUUUGUCUUGUCAGAUCAGGUAAAAUCAAUCACAGUUCUCAGGAUGAGGAAGUUCAUUUGUCUGUGUAUCUUCUUAGAUCUUGAUUACUGGGAAGGGUCUUUUGAAGAGGGGCCUUGCAGGAUGUUUGAUAGUUUUAGUC